rnacentral:rRNA from 1 species
UACGGAGGGGGUUAGCGUUGUUCGGAAUUACUGGGCGUAAAGCGCACGUAGGCGGAUUAGUAAGUUAGAGGUGAAAUCCCAGGGCUCAACCCUGGAACUGCCUUUAAUACUGCUAGUCUUGAGUUCGAGAGAGGUAAGUGGAAUUCCGAGUGUAGAGGUGAAAUUCGUAGAUAUUCGGAGGAACACCAGUGGCGAAGGCGGCUUACUGGCUCGAUACUGACGCUGAGGUGCGAAAGUGUGGGGAGCAAACAGGAUUAG